rnacentral:lncRNA from 1 species
UACUAAUGAAACUCUUUUUCUUAAUGUGUAGGUUCAAGUCAACUGAAGUGAAUCUUCCAACAUAUCAUUCAUUCCUGAAAGAAAAAAACAUUUAAAGUUGGAAGAUGUUUUUUAGUUUUAAAUAUAUCUCUCUACCUCCUAGGAGCUUUUUGUGUUGUUACCACAAAGUGUUGUUGUGUUUUAUUUGGACAGUUACCUUAAGAUACUUUAAAUGUCAUUGUUUAUUAUAAAAGCAUUAUAUGUUUACUAUAGAAUAUUUGAAAAUUAUACAAAAGCCUAAUGAAAAAAAGUCAUAUGCAAUUCACUAUUCAGCAAAAACUAUCAUUCAACCACCACCUACUAUUCUCUCUUCUUUCUCACUCUUUCAGUGUAAACAAAUAUUGAUAAUAUACUGUUACUCUACAUAUAAUCAUAGAUGGUUUUCCAUUUGACACUGUAGCAUUAGCACAUUUCCACAUUAUUCAAUAUUCCUCAUAAACAUGAUUUUUCUGGCCUCAUAGUAUUUUAUCUGAUAUUUUAC